rnacentral:pre_miRNA from 1 species
CAAGUACUCCCUCCAUCCCAAAAUUCUUGUCUUUGUCUAAAUAUGGAUGUAUCAAAUCACGUUUUAGUAUUAGAUACAUCCGUAUCUAGACAAAUAUAAGACAAGAAUUUUGGGACGGAGGGAGUAUAAC